rnacentral:rRNA from 1 species
UUACACCAUUUUUUAACUCUAUAGUUUUAAGAAUGUAAAACAAGUCUCGAAAGAGCAACAUAACAAAACAAAACUUUCGGCAACGGAUCUCUUGGCUCUCGCAUCGAUGAAGAACGCAGCGAAAUGCGAUACGUAAUGUGAAUUGCAGAAUUCAGUGAAUCAUCGAAUCUUUGAACGCACCUUGCACUCUUUGGUAUUCCGAAGAGUAUGUCUGUUUGAGUGUCAUGAAACUCUCAACCCCCUCAUUUUGUAAUGAAGUGAGUCGUGGGCUUGGAUUAUGGCUGUCUGUCGGCUUCAUUGCCGGCUCAGCUGAAAUACACGAGUAACCCAGUUUGAAAAACUGACGGCUUGACUCGGCGUAAUAAUUAUUAUCGCUGAGGACGUCUAACCUUCAAAUCGUUAGUGGUGCUUCUAAUGCAAAUCAUUUUAAGAUUUAGACCUCAAAUCAGUCAGGAUUACCCGCUGAACUUAAGCAUAUCAAUAAGCGGAGGAAUCUUGCUGAAAAACUCGAGCCAUCCGGAAGAUCUGGCGGCCGCUCUCCCUAUAGUGAGUCGUAUUACGCCGGAUGGAUAUGGUGUUCAGGCACAAGUGUUAAAGCAGUUGAUUUUAUUCACUAUGAUGAAAAAAACAAUGAAUGGAACCUGCUCCAAGUUAAAAAUAGAGAUAAUACCGAAAACUCAUCGAGUAGUAAGAUUAGAGAU